rnacentral:lncRNA from 1 species
AUUAACUGGCAGGAUUCAAAUAAUAGUCAUCUAUGAGGAUUCAUAAUUGAAUGGUCUAGGCCAGUGCUGUUUUAACAUUUCAGUUGAUAAUCUCAAGUAAGUAUAAAGCUGUUUCUUGAGAAAUAUAUGAAUGGUACAAAUGAAAAAUAAAUAAAAAGAACAAAAUGAUUAGAAGAGCAGUUGGCUUUCACAGAUAUAUAUUUUUGUGCAACGAAUGAAACCCGCAUUUCUAGGAAUAAUGAUUGCAGUAAAGGACUUUAACUAUGGAAAUCAGCUGCUCUGCAAGAAUUACAGGCAUAUAGUUUGCAAGCAAUUUGGUAUAAGCUCUGGAAUAGUGUGCUAAAUAUAAAUAAAUAAAUAAAUAAAUGCUAAAUAUAAACAGAUAAAUAAAUAGGAGAGAUUUAUAUGAUCCUUGUCUUAUACAUAGGAAUGAGGGGAGGAAUUGAUACCAUUUUUCCUUAAUGUGCAGUAAAACCGAUCCUCUACAUUUAUUACAGCUAUCUGUGAAAACAGCAAUUGAAAAAUAAGAGAGGAUACAGAGAUAGAUGCCUUUACGCUGCGAGACACAAAGGAGAUAGUCUGGUUAGCUGAACAAAAGACAAGACUGAAAUGUAACUUGAUUACAGCAACUAAACUCCCUCAUCAUUUCUCACACGUCACAGAAAGAAAAGAAAAGAAAAGAAAAGAAAAGAAAAGAAAAGAAAAGAAAAGAAAAGAAAAGAAAAGAAAAGAAAAGAAAAGAAAAGAAAAGAAAAGAAAAGAAAAGAAAAGAAAAGAAAAGAAAAGAAAAAAAGAAAAGAAAAAUCAGCUUUGCAGUCUCAGUUGUCUCAGGAAAAAGAAUUCAAUAACACUUCUGCUGCAUGGAUUUUAAAGUAAGUAAGCCACUGUUAUGACACAUGGUUUUUGCACCUGUGAGGAACUAUCUGACUCAGCACUGGUAGUGUGGACAUGUGGUGAUACUUUAUUAAAAAAUAUAUGUAUAUAAUUUUCUCAGUGAGUAUGUGUUUACUAAAUUUAGCUGUGCUUUGUGCAGGGCCUGAGAAAGGACUAGACAGUGCAAGUUUAUCUGCAUCCAAUUCAGUGGAAAUGCCACAUGUAAAGAUGUUGCAAAGUCAGGACUUUGGCAAGAAAGCAGCAAGCCUCUGUUAAUAAGGGUGGAAGUUUUGAAUGCAGAGGGACUGGGGCCAAUUAAUGAAAGGACAAGUUUUGGAGAGCCAUGGGAACUGUACCAUGGAGGAACUGCUAGACUGGAUUCUCAUAAUAAAAGGAGAAGUCCUGAUCUUACUAAGGUGAGGACCUGCUCUCUAUGUAGACUUUGAGAGAGUAAUGCAAAAGCUAUGUGAUAGUCAUCAUCUAAUCCAAGCCUGCUUUCAAGCCUGCUGCCUUGCUUGGGAGUGUGCACUGUCAUUGUGCACAGCAGAGCACAGAUUUGGUUGCAAAGUGUAAUUCCUCAGCACUGCAAAAUAUAUGCAAAGAAGUAGAAGUCUUUUACCAUUUCAGCAUUUCAGACUGGACUGUCUACAAGGUAAUGUUACACUUAGUCUACAAGUUCUUUGCCAUUUGAGAGAUGUGAUGGGUUUAUUAAUAACCUCACUUCCGAUGUGUGAGGAAGAUCUAGGAAAUGUGGUUCUGAUAGCUGAGAAUGAGCUUCAGUUUGAAAGAGAGACAUACAUUACAGUACAGGCUGAGAGCUGGGGCUGUGCUCUCAGAAGAGAAGGCUCCAGGGAGACCUUUGCAGCCUGUUAGCCCCUUUUCUUACAGGGGACUGUAAGAAAAAAGGGGCCAGACUUUAGAAGGGUCUAUUGUGAUAGGAAAAGGGGAAAAGGUUUCAAACUAAAAGAGGGAAGAUUUAGAUUGAUUAUAAAUGUUUUUUUUUACAACAAAGGUAGUGAAGCACUGGAACAAGAUGCUCAGAGAGGUGGUGGAUAUCCC